rnacentral:rRNA from 1 species
UACGUAGGGUGCGAGCGUUAAUCGGAAUUACUGGGCGUAAAGCGUGCGCAGGCGGUUUUGUAAGCCAGAUGUGAAAUCCCCGGGCUUAACCUGGGAAUGGCAUUUGGGACUGCAAAGCUUGAGUGCGGCAGAGGGGACUGGAAUUCCUGGUGUAGCAGUGAAAUGCGUAGAGAUCAGGAGGAAUACCGAUGGCGAAGGCAGGUCCCUGAGCUGACACUGACGCUCAUGCACGAAAGCGUGGGGAGCAAACAGG